CCCAUGAUCUAGUUUGAGUGGUCAGCUGAAGCACCCACGCCAAACGCAUCAGAUUCCGUUUCGCCAAUGCUGUCGUCCAAGGAAGGAACAAUGCGUACCAGCUGGGCUGAUGACAGGAACGACAUGGACGGUCGAGAAGCAUCGCCGUGCCGUCGGUGCACCUGAGGGCAUCCAGACGUGUAUGUUUACACUCCUCUGACGAGUGACGAUCUAUGUUUCGUCAGAUGAUUAAGGUUCGCUACUCUUUCAUUUCAAAGAGCAACCCGCACUAGUUCUCGGUUCAUUCGGUCAACGAUUUUGUCAUCUGCUGGCAAUUAAAGUUAAUCGUUUUUUCUUUUUCUUUUCUUGCGCUUUCGGGUGCCUACAAGAUGCUGCUGCUGCUUUGUUCCCUUUUGGCUAGGACUAGAAAAGAAGAAUCAAAACGGCAUGAGUGAGGCGACUGCGGGGGCGACGGCAGGGGCGUUCUCCGUCCCCGGCCUUGGCGUUCGGCGGUUACGAUGAGGAGGAGGUGGCAUCGACUAUAGACAAAGUGCUGCCACUAGAUGAUCCGGCAAGGGUAGGCCUGCACGCGGGGGAGAAGAAGGAGAUGAUCCGGCGAGUCGUUCAUCGGAGGACGGCGGCGACGGCGAUCAGGCCAUGGAAGGGCCCCCUCCCCAAGGUUAUCUUCCGAGCCACUGCGUUGAUCCAUUUGUGGUCGCUACUCACUCCGACAGAGGACAGGGAGCGUAUGGUUACUGGAUCUACCCGAUGGGAGAUGGUAGCACGUACUAUUUUCAACCUAUUUGGAUGGCGGUCAUGUAAUAAGAUAGGCAAUUAGUGAUCCUAUCUUUUUAUGCCAGCCGGUUGUGGCUUUUCUAUUACUUUUUAGCUCUUUGUGAGCCUUUUUUGUUCUUUGAUCGAGACAUGAAGACCUGUGUUGAACCUGUUGCUUAUUAAUAAUUAUGACCGUAUGCAUC